GGUUAAGCGACUAAGCGUACACGGUGGAUGCCCUGGCAGUCAGAGGCGAUGAAGGACGUGCUAAUCUGCGAUAAGCGCCGGUAAGGUGAUAUGAACCGUUAUAACCGGCGAUUUCCGAAUGGGGAAACCCAGUGUGAUUCGUCACACUAUCGUUAACUGAAUACAUAGGUUAACGA
rnacentral:rRNA from 1 species